UAAAUACUAUUGAAUGAAUGAAUGAAUGAAUGAAUGAAUGAAUCUUCCUGCAUCCUCUUGCUCUCCGACGGUUUCCCUCAUUUCUCGUAAUCGCCCAGGCUGACCCACUUCGGGCACUGUGGAAAGGGUAAUAAGAUCACAAACUUUUCAUCAGAAUAUUUGGGCUUAAUGUGGGCUCUUAACGUUCUCAAGUUAAUUCCCUCUGGCCCUCACAGAAUGAUGAUGAAGGACAUUUUUGGGUGACGUUUCCAGGGACGGUUGUCUCGGCCGUUAUGAGGAUUGGAAUUGGCUUAAAGAUUGAAAAAAAAAAAAAAAAAGCAUUUUGGAAGUCCUCGACACAAUUUUAAGUGUUUUCUAUCGUUAACUGUGUGUAAAAUUAUAAUGUUUAUUGAAAUUAUGUGGUAUUAAUAUUUGCAGAGUUUAAUUAAUUGAAUUCCUUUUAAAAUGUGGAUCAUAUUUACGGCAUAAUUUGGGUAACCAAACACUUUUAUUUUGAAGUUAAUUCAAUUUAAACAUGCAGCUAUUAGGCAGGAAGUUUUCUUUUAAUAAAAGUCAUAUGCGUAGAACAGCAUUUUUACAUUUCAACAUAAAUCAGGUCUGUGAUGUAACCGUUUGAUGUGCGCCCUCCGCUUGUUGAAAUCGAUGUUCCCAUGAAAAUCAGUCACGUCACAUGGGCCAAGCAUUUUAUACCUCUGAGGACAACCGCUUAAAUAUUAGAGCUCGUAACUGCCUGGGCAGGGCAUGAGGAAUGGAGAGCGGCUCCCCAGCCGGCACGUUGAUCGAAGGGAUUUUAAGAGAAAGACGACACACGGCAUCGGUCCCCAGGCUCGACCUUACGGCUUGCUGCAAAGUGUGUGGUGUAGAACGGCACAAACUACACAAUCCCCGCCCUCCUUCCUCUGAAGCCAACCUUCUAGGUGAUGAAAUUGUCGAAUCUGGAAGUCAGAGUUCCUGAUUAGGCAAGUUGUGGUUAUUUUUUACUUUUAAUCAAAUUUUUCUUGGCACUUUUAAGUUACAGUUGUCAUGGUUUAGAGAGAAAAACAUUCACUUUCCUUCCUACCGGUGUUGGAUAAAAAAAAAAAAAUUAUGGUGAAACACGGAAGGAGCGUGGCACGGUGGAAAAUACAUGAACCUGGGUUCUAAUCUAGGCUCCACCACUUGCUAGUUGCGUGACCUUGGACUUGUCAAUUAAC